AUUGAACGCUGGCGGCAGGCCUAACACAUGCAAGUCGAACGAGUCGCGGACGGGUGAGUACUGUCUGGGACACUGCCUUAUGUAUGGGGAUAACUACUUGAAACGGUAGCUAAUACCGCAUACCAUCAGAUGUGCCCAUAUGGGAUUAGCUUGUUGGUGGGGUAACGGCCCACCAGGGCGACGAUACCUAGCUGGUCUGAGAGGAUGACCAGCCACACUGGAACGGAGACACGGUCCAGACUCCUACGGGAGGCAGCAGUGGGGAAUAUUGCACAAUGGGCGCAAGCCUGAUGCAGCCAUGCCGCGUGUAUGAAGAAGGCCUUCGGGUUGUAAAGUACUUUCGGCGGGGAGGCGUUACCCGCAGAAGAAGCACCGGCUAACUCCGUGCCAGCAGCCGCGGUAAUAC
rnacentral:rRNA from 1 species